CUCUUUCUUAUACUAGAAUUUAAUAUUUUUGUGAAGAAGCAGAAAUAAAUUCGUAGGACGAGAAGACCCUAUCGAGCUUUAACAAAUUUGUUAAUAAUUAGCUAAUACAAGGAAUCUAAUUAAGUUAUAUUAUAAUACAAUAAAUUUAGUUAUUUGUAUGUUAUUAUCUAAUAGAAUAGUUUUGAUUGGGGCAAUCGCGGAGUAAAAAAAACCUCCGUUAAAAGUAUUAAAAAUUACUAUUUUUAUUAAAUGACCCGCUGUUUAGCGAGCAAAGGAAUAAGUUACCGUAGGGAUAACAGCGUAAUUUUUUUGGAGAGUUCAUAUUGAUAAAAAAGUUUGCGACCUCGAUGUUGGAUCGAGAUUUCCUARAAAUGCAGCAGUUUCUAAGGGUUGGUCUGUUCAACCAUUAAAAUCUU
rnacentral:rRNA from 1 species